GUGCUCGUUUCAGCAGCACAUAUACUAAAACUGGAACGAUACAGAGAAGAUUAGCAUGGCCCCUGCACAAGGAUGACAAGCAAAUUCGUGAAGCGUUCCACUUUUUG
rnacentral:snRNA from 1 species